rnacentral:rRNA from 1 species
AUUGAACGCUGGCGGCAGGCUUAACACAUGCAAGUCGAGCGGGGAAAGGUAGCUUGCUACUUAACCUAGCGGCGGACGGGUGAGUAAUGCUUAGGAAUCUGCCUAUUAGUGGGGGACAACAUCUCGAAAGGGAUGCUAAUACCGCAUACGUCCUACGGGAGAAAGCAGGGGACCUUCGGGCCUUGCGCUAAUAGAUGAGCCUAAGUCGGAUUAGCUAGUUGGUGGGGUAAAGGCCUACCAAGGCGACGAUCUGUAGCGGGUCUGAGAGGAUGAUCCGCCACGCUGGGACUGAGACACGGCCCAGACUCCUACGGGAGGCAGCAGUGGGGAAUAUUGGACAAUGGGGGGAACCCUGAUCCAGCCAUGCCGCGUGUGUGAAGAAGGCCUUUUGGUUGUAAAGCACUUUAAGCGAGGAGGAGGCUACCGAGAUUAAUACUCUUGGAUAGUGGACGUUACUCGCAGAAUAAGCACCGGCUAACUCUGUGCCAGCCGCCGCAGUAAUAC